UGUUGAAAUACCAAGCAAUGUGCACUGGAAUCAACAAUAGUUGGGAUGCGAACUCUAUUUGGCAGCGACUCUACUACAGCACGACGGUGCCAUAGUGUUGUGGAUUGUUACCAUGGCACCUUCUUCAUCUAAUCCUUGCUUUAUCAAAGGUGGGUCCUCUAUUUUAUUUUUUUUGUAAUUCUCAAGUAAUUCUUGGAAAGGCGCUUCUCAUGUUCUUUUUUUUAGUUUUUUUCUCUGUCGUAAUCUGUGGUCGGACUGUUGGCAACGGAAGUGGAUUGUCCUUUGUUAUUGGUUGUUGCCUCCAAGCUGCAAAUGAACCAUAGCUGCCAAGGGUCGCCUGCAUUGCAUAGAACGGUGU
rnacentral:lncRNA from 1 species